rnacentral:rRNA from 1 species
GACGAACGCUGGCGGCAUGCCUAAUACAUGCAAGUCGAGCGAACAGAUGAAGUGCUUGCACUUCUGACGUUAGCGGCGAACGGGUGAGUAACACGUAAGGAAUCUACCUAUAAGCGGGGGAUAACAUUCGGAAACGGGUGCUAAUACCGCAUAAUAUCUUCUUCCGCAUGGAAGAAGAUUGAAAGACGGCUCUGCUGUCACUUAUAGAUGACCUUGCGGUGCAUUAGUUAGUUGGUGGGGUAACGGCCUACCAAGACGAUGAUGCAUAGCCGACCUGGGAGGGUGAUCGGCCACAGUGGGACUGAGACACGGCCCAAACUCCGACGGGAGGCAGCAGUAGGGAAUCUUCCGCAAUGGGCGAAAGCCUGACGGAGCAAUGCCGCGUGAGUGAAGAAGGCCUUCGGGUCGUAAAACUCUGUUAUAAGAGAAGAACAAAUUGUAGAGUAACUGCUACAGUCUUGACGGUAUCUUAUCAGAAAGCCACGGCUAACUACGUGCCAGCCGCCGCUGUAA